GUGAUGAUGGUGCAGUGGUAAGCAUGGCUGCCUUCUAAGCAGGUAACAUGGGUUCAAUUCCCAGUCAUCACA